UACGAAGGGGGCUAGCGUUGCUCGGAAUCACUGGGCGUAAAGGGUGCGUAGGCGGGUCUUUAAGUCAGGGGUGAAAUCCUGGAGCUCAACUCCAGAACUGCCUUUGAUACUGAAGAUCUUGAGUUCGGGAGAGGUGAGUGGAACUGCGAGUGUAGAGGUGAAAUUCGUAGAUAUUCGCAAGAACACCAGUGGCGAAGGCGGCUCACUGGCCCGAUACUGGCGCUGAGGAGCGAAAGCCAGGGGAGCAAACGGG
rnacentral:rRNA from 1 species